UACGUAGGGUGCAGGCGUUAAUCGGAAUUACUGGGCGUAAAGCGUGCGCAGGCGGUCUAUUAAGACAGGUGUGAAAUCCCCGGGCUUAACCUGGGAACUGCGCUUGUAACUGAUAGGCUUGAGUGUGGCAGAGGGGGGUGGAAUUCCAGGUGUAGCAGUGAAAUGCGUAGAUAUCUGGAGGAACACCGAUGACGAAGGCAGCCCCCUGGGCUAACACUGACGCUCAUGCACGAAAGCGUGGGGAGCAAACAGG
rnacentral:rRNA from 1 species